GUAAGUUCCAGAAUAGCCAGGCUAUGUAGAGAGACCCCCAUCUCAAAAUUCUUACAUGUUUUUAUUUAUAUUUACACUUGUGGGUGCCGAUGAAGGUCAUCAUUUCCCCUGGAGCAGGAGUCACGGGAAGUUGUGAGCUACCUAGAGUGGGUGUUGGGGACAGAACUUGAGUCCUCUGGAAGAACAGCAGGCACCCUUUCCUCAGCCAUCUGUAUUAUUAUCAUCAAUGGGAUGGAGAGACGGCUCAGCUCUUCCAGAGGACCCAAGUUCAAUUCCCAGCACCUACAAGGCAGCUCACAACUGGCUGUGACUCCAGUUCCAGGGAUCUGACACCUUUACACCAAUGGACAUAAAACGUUAAAUAAUUCUUUAAAAAUAUCUCCAGAGCAACUAGGUCUGGAUUUCUUCUCUGUGUAAAAAUCCCAAUUUGACUUGAGUCACGGUUUGUGAAAGAUUAAGGGAACUCCUCGGGCUGUUGGGAGUGACGGAGUGGAGCAGUGUUUGUCCUCUUCUAGCAAUUCUAACAAAAGGAAGGGGCUGAGCCUGUAGGACACUUCUACUUCCUGCUGUAGACAGGACUAUUUUCAGAGUUCCUAUAACAUUCCUCAAGGACCUCACAGAGAUCCGCCUGCCUCUGCCUCCCGAGUGCUGGGAUUAAAGGCGUGCGCCACCAACGCCCGGCUAGGCAAGUAUUCUUAACAACUGAGUUAUGUGCUAUCUGCAGCCCCUGUUCUUGUGAAUACUGUCCUUCUCAAUUCCUUGACCUAUACACCAAGAGUGCUUAACCUGUGAAGACAAGCAAAGGAUGCUGGGAAGGAGUCCUUCUGUGCUCGUCACACCAACUCCUAGAGAGUGCAACCAUGAGACUGACACGUGGAAGGACCUGGGAAGAGGCAGAUCCACAGGAUGGGGAUGAGCCCCAGGCAUUGCACUUCUGGGAUGGAAGAGAAGUACAUGUCAGAAGAAGACAGUGGAGCCGACCUCAGCCAACGCCUGAGGAUGGAGGUCUGGCAAGGAGACCUCCAUUCUACAGCCCCAGAAGAAGAUGGGGAUCUACUAAACCGCCGUGAAGUUCUGGUCCACUUCUCCAUUUGCCAGUACUUCUACUGAGUCCUAUGUUGGGAUGUUAAUGCAGACCUUACUAAGGAUUAUUGCUACUUUGAUUCUAUGAUGAUACAGAUAGAGUGGUGUGGAAUGGCUACCCAGAACAAUGCUUACUUCUCAAGCUCUAAGCUGUCCAUUAGCCCCACAGGUUGACAAUGGGCUAUCCUCGAUGGUAAAUGAUGCUCACACCCCUGGUUCUUAGGUCAAGCAUGAAGUAUAGAGAGCUCAGGAGGCAGGAUGCCAAGUGGAGAUGGCCAUCAGCCCCGUCUGAAAGAACCUGAGAUACACAGGGGCAUUGCCAGGGUGUAGAAGGCUGCAGCAGCGUUUACCCAGCGUGCACAAGGACCCGGUCCGUUCCGAGACCCUUGAGUGGGAGUGGGGAGUGGAGGAGGGUAGGCUGAGAUACUGGCAUGUCUUUCAUGCGGCACUCCAUUCAGACUCUCCUCCUGAGCCCUGUCGGUAGCUGCCUGACUUCCCUACCUUUGUUGUUGUGUGCAGAUUUGUCUUCUUUUGAAUAGGCCAGCUGUGGACACCUGAAGACUUAUGACCUUCUGUGGUGCUAUACGCCUGUAAUCCCACUCUUUGGAACUGUAGAAUUAUAACUAAAAUGGGGAGCCAUAUUUAUA